rnacentral:lncRNA from 1 species
NNNNNNNNGCGCUGGUGGGGGCUGACCAGGGGCGCGGACUCAAGUGAAGCAGGGGGUCAGGUGCCUCGGUGGCGACUUGGCUCUGGUGCGGUGGGCGAAGGCUCUGCCCACUUUCUGCUUCUUUUGUUUUUAAUACGAAUGACUUUUUCUGAUGACUUACUGGUCGCUCCUCCUAGCUUACCUGGGGCUCUACCGUUCUCAGCGGACAGAGAAUGCUGCUCUUCUAGUUUUUAUUAUUUAGCUCUUCUCAGUCUUCAGAGUGACUACGCCUCAGAGACCGUUCUCCCAGAGGCCAGGAAGCCGUAAUCCUCUGAAAGCCCUUCACACCAACGCGGGAGGUGCUCCGUUCACUCGCCGACACGGUGCGCGGUGCCCG